rnacentral:tRNA from 1 species
GCUGGCAUAGCUCAGAAGGUAGAGCAGUUGAUUUGUAAUCAUCAGGUCGUGGGUUCGAUUCCUGCUGCCAGCACCA